rnacentral:rRNA from 1 species
CCUUACUGCUAUCGGGGUGGGACUAAGACAUGCGAGUCGAGCGUCUCUAGCUAUGUUGAGACGCGGCAGACGGCUCAGUAACACGUGGCUAACCUACCUUCAGGACGAGGAUAAACCCGGGAAACUGGGGCUAAUACUCGAUAGGUGAGGAUGUCUGGAAUGACUUCUCAUCCAAAGGGCAUUGGAAACAUGCUUUCAAUGUCGCCUGGGGAUGGGGCCGCGUCCGAUCAGGUUGUUGGUGAGGUAACGGCUCACCGAGCCUAUAACCGGUACGGGCCGUGAGAGCGGUAGCCCGGAGAUGGGUACUGAGACAAGGACCCAGGCCCCACGGGGCGCAGCAGUCGCGAAAACUCCGCAAUGCACGAAAGUGUGACGGGGCUACCCCGAGUGCCAUCCGCUGAGGGUGGCUUUUCUUUGGUAUAACUAGCCAUGGGAAUAAGGAGAGGGCAAGACUGGUGUCAGCCGCCGCGGUAAUACCAGCUCUCCGAGUGGUAGGGAUGAUAUUGGGCUUAAAGCGUCCGUAGCCGGCUUAGCAAGUCUCCUGUUAAAUUCAGCGACCUAAUCGUUGACCCGCGGGAGAUACUACUAGGCUAGGAGGCGGGAGAGGUCGACGGUACUUCUGGGGUAGGGGUGAAAUCCUAUAAUCCCGGGAGGACCACCAGUGGCGAAGGCUGUCGACUAGAACGCGCUCGACGGUGAGGGACGAAAGCUGGGGGAGCGAACCGGAUUAGAUACCCGGGUAGUCCCAGCCGUAAACGAUGCGAGCUAGGUGUUGGAAUGGCUACGUGCCAUUUCAGUGCCGCAGGGAAGCCAUUAAGCUCGCCGCCUGGGGAGUACGGCCGCGAGGCUGAAACUUAAAGGAAUUGGCGGGGAGCACCACAAGGCGUGAAGCUUGCGGUUCA